UUCAUAUUUCAAUUUGCUACUUUUUAAACGUCAAAUAUAUUAAUGUUCUGAAAGGCGGAGAUUAUUAUGUACUUCAAUCAUAUCAAAGUGCUUCAUCGUUUAAAAAAUGGAGUAAAGCCUAAACCCUCAUCAAACGGCAAAAUUAUUUCAAAUGGAAUUUUGCCUCACAAAUAGGAAUGUCAAGAGUAAAACAACGCUGUCUGCAAAUGGAAAUGCAUACAAUAAAGAGCAACAUAAACAGGACUGCAACGGAAAAGCAGCCACAGGAUCAGCAGUAUCAGGAGGAGGAGGAUUCUAUGAUGAUCCUAAUCGCAGCAAAUCGUCAUUCGAAGAGGUUCCUCUGCACACAGCCUGCCUAACAUAUCUUGACUUUUACCUGCUCAUGAUAUUGGGCUGCAUCAAUCAGUUGAUGUGUGCCCCAAAAGUAGCUAAAAAAUAUUUGAGAGGUAAGAUGACGAUUUGAAUCGAUUUGAAAUCCACGAACUGACUGACUGAGUCUGAAAUUCGGUUUGUUUUCAGGGCUUUGUUACGCUUUAUGAUCCCUUAGAGAGCUUCUAUUCACACUUUGUCUAUCGGAGAUUUCGAGAUUGCUGGAAUCGUCCGAUUUGCAGUGUCGUUGGGGUCGAGGUAACACUCAAGAAUCGCAUAACCAAGGACUAUGGUUGGACAUUCGAGUUUACUGGAACAGAAACACGAGAAUAUGACAAAUUCGAAACUAUUUUGUAUCGUGCAUGAGAUAUAAAAAGUGAAAAAUGUUCUCUAUGUAUUGGUUUAUUUCGUUGAUUACUUUUGGAGUUGCUUUUGGGCGCAAUGUUUCGGCAACUAACAAUCGAACUAUUUGGUUUCAAAAAAGUUGCAUGUGCGCGCCUAGCCUUAAUGGCUGAAUCACAAACACGCUUCAGCUUCCACUUCACCUGACGUUUACGAGUUCAGCCAUAGGAAUUCAAUGCUUUUAUCACAAUGGAGAUUCAACCUCACGUUUCGUUUGACAAUCGUAAGGAAAAGAACGUAAUGUUAUGCCAAACAGAAGCUCUAGUUCAAUUAUCUGAACAUUUGCUUUAUCUGACAGUUCAACGGCUGUAAAAAAUGUCAACAAACAUAAUAUUUGCUCUUUGGAAAGAUGAAAUAAUAGAAAUGGCAUUUCAGCAACAUCGAAGCAGGCCCACCGUAACGCAGACGGAGCCGAAGCUGAAGCGUGUUUGUGAUUCAGCCAUAAGAGAUUUGUGUUGCUAAAACCUUUGUAGAUGGAGUUGCAUGUUGUUCGUGCACUAGAUAACUACUAUGUAUAUGAGCUUUUUCAUUAUUGUAUUUUUAUGUGCUCUUAGUGUCACCAUAUUAUUUCCUCUUUUUUAACUAUAAAGUUCCCCACAACAAAAAUUGUCUGGUAUAAGUUUAAUGGAAGUUGAUAAAAGUCAAGGCAACUAAAUUUUUCGAGAAACUUUGACCAAUUCUUUUAUCCUUAACAACAAUAAAGUCAAGGCAACUAAGAUAUUUUCGUCAACUUUUGAAGUGUACCAGCAAAAAGUUCAAUAACGUCAUUCAAUCAGAUUCAGAUCGUUUUUUUAGUGAUUACUCUGUUCCGUUCUAGAGCAGAAAUCACAUUGGAACAAGCCUAAUUUAAAUUGUGAACGUUGACACGAAAAGAAAAAUGGCAAAGAGGAAACCAAAGCUUGACGCAAGCAACAACGUAUUUUAAACCUAAAAACUUGUGCUAAUCAGUAAUUAUUUUAUUUUAAAAAUCAUUAUACUACAUAUUUUUAUAUUAAUAUUUUUAACUUGAAUUAUUUAGUAAGUUUGCUUUAAAUAAAAUUGUCAUUUGGAGUUUUCUUCCACAGAAGUUGAGAAUUUUGCAAAACGCAACAACUGCAAAUCGAAUUAAUUCGCACAAGAUAAGUUUAUCAAAUUUUAGGGAACAUACCUAUAUUAAGUAAGAAUCCAACUGUUUCAGUAGCGUAAAAGGAAUCGGAAGAACGAAAUGGGAACAAUCAUGAACCCAUUAGUAGUAGCGCCUCUAUCAUAAAAAAACGUCGUUUUCUAUUGCAAAUCCUGGAACUUCGAAGGAAAAGAAAAGCUUUAAUUGAUGCAAUUUAAAAACGUGAUCAAGUGACAAAGAAAUAUGUGGACAAAGGUAAGCACCAGUACUUUUUGGGAACGUGAAAUGUUAGUAAACGAUGAUGAGUAUUUCAAACAAACAUGAGCCGCAGAACUUUCGAUAUACUCUGCAAUGAACUAAAGGAUCUGGAAAUGCAAGAUACAAACUUUAGGAAGUGCAUACCACUACAAAAAAGAAUAGCCAUUGCAAUAUAUACACUGGGAUCAUCCGCUGAAUAUACGAUAAUUUCAGCUAUCUUUGGGGUAGGAAUAUCCACAGUAUUUUGUCAUUAAGUUUGGCGAAUUAAAAUUGAAUUGAUAACAGCAUCUUGAUCAGAGAGAAAAAACUAAAAGAAAGAAUCAACUUCGACGGUUGCUCUCUUUUUGCCUACAAGCUGCUAUUUGCACACCAACUUGCAUAUGUAUUAACUCCAUAUAAAAAAAAUGUGGGGAACGAAUACUUAUGCAAGAAGAUAAGCAUACUCCCCACAUUUGAAAAAUGGCGGAUAUAGUCAGCUGUUCAGAUGUGUUCAAAGAAUAUUCAAAAUUGUGGAUGAACAACUUUUUGGUACUCUCAUUGUGUUCGAUUGAGAGUAAUAUCAUUCGGAUAUAAAGUGGAAUUCUUGGUAGGUGCCAAAACAAUGAAGAUUUAGAAACAAUUCUAAAUUACGUAUUUAGACAAAUAUUAGUUGGUAAUUUAACCCUGAAGUCGUCGCGCGGAUUACUAUUGUGAUCCACUCAUACAAAAUGGAUUAUUCCUAAAAAAGUAGUGGUAGGGAAUUUUUGUCCCUUUUAGUAAUUACAGUUAAAUAGUUAGCACAUGCUAACAACGGUCGCUCAGACCGUUGAAAAAUGCAAAAAAAGCUCAGAUUUGUUUCAAUUUUUAAUGCAAAAUAAUAAAUAGUGCAUAUGUA